rnacentral:rRNA from 1 species
AGAGUUUGAUCCUGGCUCAGGACGAACAUUGGCGGCGCGCCUAAUGCAUGCAAGUCGAGCGAACUCGUUUUCUUCGGAAAGCACAUAGUUAGCGGCGAACGGCUGAGUAACGCGUAAGUAACCUGCCUCGAAGAGGGGAAAAACUAUGAGAAAUCAUAGCUAAUUCCGCGUAAUGUCGAUUAAUUAAUUUAAUUGAAGAAAGAUUUAUCGCUUUGAGAUGGGCUUGCGUCCUAUCAGGUAGUUGGUAAGGUAAUAGCUUACCAAGCCUAAGACGGGUAGCUGGAGUGAGAGCUUGACCAGCCAGAGGGGGACUGAGACACGGCCCCCACUCCUACGGGAGGCAGCAGCAGGGAAUCUUGCACAAUGGGCGAAAGCCUGAUGCAGCGACGCCGCGUGAGGGAUGAAGGUUUUAGGAUCGUAAACCUCUUUUCUUAGGGAAUAGUUUGGAAGGUACCUAAGGAAUAAGUCACGGCUAACUACGUGCCAGCAGCCGCGGUAAUACGUAGGUGGCAAAUGUUGUCCGGAAUCAUUGGGCGUAAAGGGUCCGUAGGUGGCAUAAAAAGUCUUAUGUGAAAUCUCUUGGCUCAACCAAGAAACGCCAUAAGAAACUUUUAUGCUAGAGAUCAUCAGAGGGAGGUAGAAUUCCAGGUGUAGUGGUGAAAUGCGUAGAUAUCUGGAGGAAUACCAAUGGCGAAAGCAGCCUCCUGGGGUGAAUCUGACAUUGAGGGACGAAAGCGUGGGUAGCAAACCGGAUUAGAUACCCGGGUAGUCCAUGCCGUAAACGAUGAAUACUGGGUCUUCGGGGAAUCGACCCCCUGUGGACCGAAGCUAACGCGUUAAGUAUUCCGCCUGGGGAGUACGGUCGCAAGACUAAAACUCAAAGGAAUUGAC